rnacentral:rRNA from 1 species
UACGAAGGGGGCGAGCGUUGUUCGGAAUUACUGGGCGUAAAGGGCGCGUAGGCGGCCGAUCAAGUCAGAUGUGAAAGUCCUGGGCUUAACCUGGGGACUGCAUUUGAUACUGAUUGGCUUGAAUUCGGGAGAGGAUAGCGGAAUUCCCAGUGUAGAGGUGAAAUUCGUAGAUAUUGGGAGGAACACCAGUGGCGAAGGCGGCUCACUGGACCGGAACUGACGCUGAGGCGCGAAAGCGUGGGGAGCAAACAGG